GAAGGUACAGCUUAGUGAUAAAGGGCAUGCUUAGCAUGCAUGAGGUCCUGGGUCCAAUUCCUAGUACCUCUG
rnacentral:tRNA from 1 species